rnacentral:tRNA from 1 species
CGCCAGAUAGAUCAGUUGGUAGAGCACCUGACUAGAGAUUCAGGGGGGCCCUGGUUCGAAUCCCGGUCUGGUCC